CUGAACUCGAGUAGGGCCCAAGCAAGCCAGGAAGGAGGAGGCAGCCUGAGUGUUCUCUGCAGCAGAAGACCCCCUGCUGCACUGCUUAACCCAGACCAGCAUUUGCCAGUGUUUCAAAUAUUACUACAUUUUGGAAAUGUCCGACUUUCCAUUUCUUCAUGAUCAUCUCACUUUCCAUUUUACAGUUUACUAUGAAGAGGUUUACUAUGGAACAUAGAGGGCAGCUGAAGACACAAGUGCAAAGCUCUCUUGGACAUGCAGAAUGGUUUUGCAGAUUCAGGCCAAAUUUAUUUUAAAGAGAGUAGAAGAUGGCAAGACAUCACUGUUGUGCUUGAUGUAUUUUGCAGUGCUUGGUUUAUAUCUUGUCCUUGC